rnacentral:rRNA from 1 species
ACUCCUACGGGAGGCAGCAGUAGGGAAUAUUGGACAAUGGGCGAAAGCCUGAUCCAGCAAUGCCGCGUGAGUGAUGAAGGCCUUAGGGUUGUAAAGCUCUUUUACCCGGGAUGAUAAUGACAGUACCGGGAGAAUAAGCUCCGGCUAACUCCGUGCCAGCAGCCGCGGUAAUACGGAGGGAGCUAGCGUUGUUCGGAAUUACUGGGCGUAAAGCGCACGUAGGCGGCUAUUCAAGUCAGAGGUGAAAGCCCGGGGCUCAACCCCGGAACUGCCUUUGAAACUAGAUAGCUUGAAUCCAGGAGAGGUGAGUGGAAUUCCGAGUGUAGAGGUGAAAUUCGUAGAUAUUCGGAAGAACACCAGUGGCGAAGGCGGCUCACUGGACUGGUAUUGACGCUGAGGUGCGAAAGCGUGGGAGCAAACAGGAUUAGAUACCCUGGUAGCGACUGA